GGCAACAUGGCCGAGUGGUCUAAGGUGCUGGGAUUAAGAACUUAGCAACUCAGAUGGUUUAUAUAAUCACCCAGUCUUCUGGGGCGUGAGUUCGAACCUCACUGUUGUCA